GUUGGGUAGGGGAGCGUUCUGUAAGCCUGCGAAGGUGGCCUGUGAGGGUUGCUGGAGGUAUCAGAAGUGCGAAUGCUGACAUAAGUAACGAUAAAGCGGGUGAAAAGCCCGCUCGCCGGAAGACCAAGGGUUCCUGUCCAACGUUAAUCGGGGCAGGGUGAGUCGACCCCUAAGGCGAGGCCGAAAGGCGUAGUCGAUGGGAAACGGGUUAAUAUUCCCGUACUUGGUGUUACUGCGAAGGGGGGACGGAGAAGGCUAUGUUGGCCGGGCGACGGUUGUCCCGGUUUAAGCGUGUAGGUGUGUGUUCCAGGUAAAUCCGGUUCACUUUAACACUGAGGCGUGAUGACGAGGCACUACGGUGCUGAAGCAACAAAUGCCCUGCUUCCAGGAAAAGCCUCUAAGCAUCAGGUAACAUCAAAUCGUACCCCAAACCGACACAGGUGGUCAGGUAGAGAAUACCAAGGCGCUUGAGAGAACUCGGGUGAAGGAACUAGGCAAAAUGGUGCCGUAACUUCGGGAGAAGGCACGCUGACACGUAGGUGAAGUGAUUUACUCAUGGAGCUGAAGUCAGUCGAAGAUACCAGCUGGCUGCAACUGUUUAUUAAAAACACAGCACUGUGCAAACACGAAAGUGGACGUAUACGGUGUGACGCCUGCCCGGUGCCGGAAGGUUAAUUGAUGGGGUCAGCGCAAGCGAAGCUCCUGAUCGAAGCCCCGGUAAACGGCGGCCGUAACUAUAACGGUCCUAAGGUAGCGAAAUUCCUUGUCGGGUAAGUUCCGACCUGCACGAAUGGCGUAAUGAUGGCCAGGCUGUCUCCACCCGAGACUCAGUGAAAUUGAACUCGCUGUGAAGAUGCAGUGUACCCGCGGCAAGACGGAAAGACCCCGUGAACCUUUACUAUAGCUUGACACUGAACAUUGAGCCUUGAUGUGUAGGAUAGGUGGGAGGCUUUGAAGCGUGGACGCCAGUCUGCGUGGAGCCGACCUUGAAAUACCACCCUUUAAUGUUUGAUGUUCUAACGUGGACCCGUAAUCCGGGUUGCGGACAGUGUCUGGUGGGUAGUUUGACUGGGGCGGUCUCCUCCUAAAGAGUAACGGAGGAGCACGAAGGUUGGCUAAUCCUGGUCGGACAUCAGGAGGUUAGUGCAAUGGCAUAAGCCAGCUUGACUGCGAGCGUGACGGCGCGAGCAGGUGCGAAAGCAGGUCAUAGUGAUCCGGUGGUUCUGAAUGGAAGGGCCAUCGCUCAACGGAUAAAAGGUACUCCGGGGAUAACAGGCUGAUACCGCCCAAGAGUUCAUAUCGACGGCGGUGUUUGGCACCUCGAUGUCGGCUCAUCACAUCCUGGGGCUGAAGUAGGUCCCAAGGGUAUGGCUGUUCGCCAUUUAAAGUGGUACGCGAGCUGGGUUUAGAACGUCGUGAGACAGUUCGGUCCCUAUCUGCCGUGGGCGCUGGAGAACUGAGGGGGGCUGCUCCUAGUACGAGAGGACCGGAGUGGACGCAUCACUGGUGUUCGGGUUGUCAUGCCAAUGGCACUGCCCGGUAGCUAAAUGCGGAAGAGAUAAGUGCUGAAAGCAUCUAAGCACGAAACUUGCCCCGAGAUGAGUUCUCCCUGAGACUUA
rnacentral:rRNA from 1 species